rnacentral:rRNA from 1 species
AACGAACGCUGGCGGCAGGCUUAACACAUGCAAGUCGAACGCCCCGCAAGGGGAGUGGCAGACGGGUGAGUAACGCGUGGGAAUCUACCGUACCCUACGGAAUAGCUCCGGGAAACUGGAAUUAAUACCGUAUACGCCCUACGGGGGAAAGAUUUAUCGGGGUAUGAUGAGCCCGCGUUGGAUUAGCUAGUUGGUGGGGUAAAGGCCUACCAAGGCGACGAUCCAUAGCUGGUCUGAGAGGAUGAUCAGCCACAUUGGGACUGAGACACGGCCCAAACGCCUACGGGAGGCAGCAGUGGGGAAUAUUGGACAAUGGGCGCAAGCCUGAUCCAGCCAUGCCGCGUGAGUGAUGAAGGUCUUAGGAUUGUAGAGCUCUUUCACCGAUGAAGAUAAUGACGGUAGUCGGAGAAGAAGCCCCGGCUAACUUCGUGCCAGCCGCCGCGGUAAUAC